AGCGAACGCUGGCGGCAGGCCUAACACAUGCAAGUCGAACGAAGCCUUCGGGCUUAGUGGCGGACGGGUGAGUAACACGUGGGAACGUACCUUUUGGUUCGGAAUAACGCAGAGAAAUUUGCGCUAAUACCGAAUGAGCCCUUCGGGGGAAAGAUUUAUCGCCGAAAGAUCGGCCCGCGUUGGAUUAGGUAGUUGGUGUGGUAAAGGCGCACCAAGCCUACGAUCCAUAGCUGGUCUGAGAGGAUGAUCAGCCACACUGGGACUGAAACACGGCCCAGACUCCUACGGGAGGCAGCAGUGUGGAAUCUUGCGCAAUGGGCGAAAGCCUGACGCAGCCAUGCCGCGUGAAUGAUGAAGGUCUUAGGAUUGUAAAAUUCUUUUACCAGGGACGAUAAUGACGGUACCUGGAGAAAAAGCCCCGGCUAACUUCGUGCCAGCCGCCGCAGUAAGAC
rnacentral:rRNA from 1 species